rnacentral:tRNA from 5 species
GGAGUGGUAGUUCAGUUGGUUAGAAUACCGGCCUGUCACGCCGGGGGUCGCGGGUUCGAGUCCCGUCUACUCCGCCA